CCUACGGGAGGCAGCAGUGGGGAAUAUUGCACAAUGGGGGAAACCCUGAUGCAGCGACGCCGCGUGAAGGAAGAAGUAUUUCGGUAUGUAAACUUCUAUCAGCAGGGAAGAAAAUGACGGUACCUGACUAAGAAGCCCCGGCUAACUAAGUGCCAGCAGCCGCGGUAAUACGUAGGGGGCAAGCGUUAUCCGGAUUUACUGGGUGUAAAGGGAGCGUAGGCGGCGAUGCAAGUCAGAAGUGAAAGCCCGGGGCUCAACUCCGGGACUGCUUUUGAAACUGUAUGGCUAGAUUGCAGGAGAGGCAAGUGGAAUUCCUAGUGUAGCGGUGAAAUGCGUAGAUAUUAGGAGGAACACCAGUGGCGAAGGCGGCUUACUGGACUGUAACUGACGUUGAGGCUCGAAAGCGUGGGGAGCAAACAGGAUUAGAUACCCUAGUAGUC
rnacentral:rRNA from 1 species